ensembl:lncRNA
GGACUGCGUGUUUGCUCGUUUUGUCCCGGAGCUAUGCCACGCUGGGGUCCCGACUGCCCUGACCCGUUUUGGACUGCUGCUGCUUUGUGUGGGGAUAAAACCCACACUUUUUACGGACCUUGCCUGCUGCUGCGUUCGGGUGUGGAAAUCCCGUUGUCCGCAUUUUUAUGCCUAUUGUAUUAUGUUUUCAUGUUUAGCUGCCUGAAAUAGGAGGUGGAUGGCAAGGGAGAUUUUUCUUUAUUAUUUUUGUAGCUAUUUUUGAUUAUUUGAUGGUUUAGUUCUUUGAGUUCAAACUGUAACCUGUUUUGAUAUUUUCCUUUCUUUUUGAUUUGUAUUGGAUCUCUAUUGUUGUUGAAUUUAUUUUCAGUCUCCCAUUAACUGCCCAUCUUUGUGAUUCCAGGUGCUGAGGGCCUCACUGGUGAUCCUGUUUGGUGAUGGUGUCCCUUCGUGUGUAGUGUCUUAUUCACUCCCCUCCUUUGUUUUGCUUUGCCCUUGUGUGUUUGGAGUGUUAAUUUUGGAUUGUGGUGCUCCCAUUUUAAGUUUAUACUUUCACCCCUCACUCACCUUGAGCACAAAUGCCCCAGCCCUGGAAUACAUGAUAAUUUAUACAAAUAGGAUAAUUUUUUUAGAUUUGAAUUGUGCCCAAUAAACUGUUGUAUAUGCUUUUGGAAACACGUCUCUCGCCUGCUCAGUGUAACGAACUUGUGUUGUCCUUUUGUUUAGAUUUAGUAAUUUACCUUAUUCAUAGAUUUCUUUCUUUUCCCUGGGUGAUUUCUCCCAGGGUGGCGUUGCUGGUUUCCUUUAGUUUCUUUCUUUUUCCCCUAGUUAAAAACAUAGAUUAUUGGGGUAGUUCCUACCCCACCUCACGCUUGCCACAAACUUGGCGUUGCUGGCAGGACUUAUACUGAAAAAAAAAGGCAGAGACGUGUGUUCCUUUGUUUUUUUGUUGUUUGUUUUUUUGUUUUUCUGAAUAAGACAAAGCAGCAGCAGUCCCCUGGCAACCAUGGAGGAAGAAAUGCAAGAGUUGCGAGCUCUGGUUGCGCAGUUAAAGGCUGACAAUGAGAGGUUGCGUCAAGCUUCGUUGGUGCCGCCCUCUAGUGCUACACCUUCAACCUCCUCAGUACUGCCGACUGCCCUUACUUCUGCCAGUGCCCCUGCAGCCGAGAGGCCCCACAACCUGUCACGCAGGCAUUACAGGAGUACCAUCAGGUGACCACGCAGACCUCCCAGGAGCUGUCUGGGAAGGCAAAGGUCAGAGGUGCUGAGGGCCUCACUGGUGAUCCUGUUUGGUGAUGGUGUCCCUUCGUGUGUAGUGUCUUAUUCACUCCCCUCCUUUGUUUUGCUUUGCCCUUGUGUGUUUGGAGUGUUAAUUUUGGAUUGUGGUGCUCCCAUUUUAAGUUUAUACUUUCACCCCUCACUCACCUUGAGCACAAAUGCCCCAGCCCUGGAAUACAUGAUAAUUUAUACAAAUAGGAUAAUUUUUUUAGAUUUGAAUUGUGCCCAAUAAACUGUUGUAUAUGCUUUUGGAAACACGUCUCUCGCCUGCUCAGUGUAACGAACUUGUGUUGUCCUUUUGUUUAGAUUUAGUAAUUUACCUUAUUCAUAGAUUUCUUUCUUUUCCCUGGGUGAUUUCUCCCAGGGUGGCGUUGCUGGUUUCCUUUAGUUUCUUUCUUUUUCCCCUAGUUAAAAACAUAGAUUAUUGGGGUAGUUCCUACCCCACCUCACGCUUGCCACAUCU